GUUUAAUUUUUUGCAGGUAAUUUGGUUGUGUCAUUUGUAAAACAUAACCAGGAGUCUGUGCAGUGUCUGCCUUCAAGUUUACAUUUAUCAAUUUAAGAACUGGUUUGAGAUCAAUCAGUGCCACUGAAGUCUUGCACGUUGAGUGUCUCUCCAAAAAGAGAUGCCUCCUCUGCCUGUGUCUUAUCUCACAUGUGUUUCUAUAUAAUCUACUGGUAGAUUUCUCCAGAUCAGACAAUUUCAUUUAACAGCUUCUGGUCUUGUAACACGUUCCAGGGGUCUUCCAGAGCCAGGGAGAGAAUGGAAAGCUCCUUCAACUCUGUGUAAUGUGCUUUGAGCAAUGUGUGAGCUGCAGAGCCUCACCUGUGCACCAGAUUUGUGUCUCCUCCUUGGUCCAGCACAGCUGAGGAGCUCAGGGAGCGAGAGAGAUGUGUUCUGCUCACCUGUGCAAAAACACAGUGCGGGAGAGGCCAGAGUGCAGGGGAAGGUCCCAGAGGUUCCAACUGGGUGGCAAUAGGAAAAUGCAGUCAGCUUCAUCAGAUACGAAGUAGAACUGAAGACACAAAAGAAUUUAAACCCUUCCCUCCAAUCUGAGUCAAGACUUGAUCACAGAUUGUCUCCUGUUGUUAAGGUAAAGAGAAAAGUCUGCUUUUAUGGAACAGCUCAGUGGAAGCUGGAUUUACAUCUAUUUUAUAGGUAGGCUGGCUUUCUGCUUUCUCUUAAAUGCUCUGCUUGCUGGGUGUUUGUAUCUGUAGCUGAAGAGCUGAUGCUUCAGAAAAGAAAAUGCGUAAGGAGGAAGAGAAAACAGCUAUUUCCUGAGCUGCUCUAAAUUCAUGUCGAUGUCCCAGCAUUAACCAGAGUUCCUCUUUGUGCUAAGCUGAGGAGUUACAGCUGAAGCUUGGGGCAGUGAGGUCCUGUGGCAGCCAGGAGCUCUUGUGCAGCAGUGUCACUGACAGGGGGAGCAGUGGGGUCCCCAAGCCCUGUACCCUCUAAGUUCAUGGGAAAUACUAACCCUGCAUGUCUCCUCUUCCCUUUUUCCUAAAGAAAUAAGCUUUUAUUGUUAUCCAGAAAAACACUGCUUUUAUAACUUCACUGCUUUUUACUGCUCUGUGCCAAUUGUAGAGACCAUUUAAAGCUAUUUUGCCCUCGAUUUCUGUGUUGGGAUAGGUAGGAUCUGGGGCAGAAUAAUCC
rnacentral:lncRNA from 1 species